GGGCCCGCACAAGCGGUGGAGCAUGUGGUUUAAUUCGAUGAUACGCGAGGAACCUUACCAAGGCUUAAAUGUAAAACGACCAGUUGAGAAAUCAACUUUUUUUCGAACGGUUUACAAGGUGCUGCAUGGUUGUCGUCAGCUCGUGCCGUGAGGUGUCGGGUUAAGUCCCAUAACGAGCGCAACCCCUAUCUUUAGUUACCAGCGAGUAAUGUCGGGAACUCUAGAAAAACUGCCUGUGCAAACAGAGAGGAAGGUGGGGAUGACGUCAAAUCAUCACGGCCCUUAUGUCUUGGGCUUCACGCAUGCUACAAUGGCCGGUACAGAGGGCUGCAAUACCGCAAGGUGGAGCGAAUCCCAAAAAGCCGGUCUCAGUUCGGAUUGAGGUCUGCAACUCGACCUCAUG
rnacentral:rRNA from 1 species